rnacentral:rRNA from 1 species
GACGAACGCUGGCGGCGUGCUUAACACAUGCAAGUCGAACGGAAAGGCCCUGCUUUUGUGGGGUGCUCGAGUGGCGAACGGGUGAGUAACACGUGAGUAACCUGCCCUUGACUUUGGGAUAACUUCAGGAAACUGGGGCUAAUACCGGAUAGGAGCUCCUGCUGCAUGGUGGGGGUUGGAAAGUUUCGGCGGUUGGGGAUGGACUCGCGGCUUAUCAGCUUGUUGGUGGGGUAGUGGCUUACCAAGGCUUUGACGGGUAGCCGGCCUGAGAGGGUGACCGGCCACAUUGGGACUGAGAUACGGCCCAGACUCCUACGGGAGGCAGCAGUGGGGAAUAUUGCACAAUGGGCGGAAGCCUGAUGCAGCAACGCCGCGUGCGGGAUGACGGCCUUCGGGUUGUAAACCGCUUUCGCCUGUGACGAAGCGUGAGUGACGGUAAUGGGUAAAGAAGCACCGGCUAACUACGUGCCAGCAGCCGCGGUGAUACGUAGGGUGCGAGCGUUGUCCGGAUUUAUUGGGCGUAAAGGGCUCGUAGGUGGUUGAUCGCGUCGGAAGUGUAAUCUUGGGGCUUAACCCUGAGCGUGCUUUCGAUACGGGUUGACUUGAGGAAGGUAGGGGAGUAUGGAAUUCCUGGUGGAGCGGUGGAAUGCGCAGAUAUCAGGAGGAACACCAGUGGCGAAGGCGGUUCUCUGGGCCUUUCCUGACGCUGAGGAGCGAAAGCGUGGGGAGCGAACAGGCUUAGAUACCCUGGUAGUCCACGCUGUAAACGGUGGGUACUAGGUGUGGGGUCCAUUCCACGGGUUCCGUGCCGUAGCUAACGCUUUAAGUACCCCGCCUGGGGAGUACGGCCGCAAGGCUAAAACUCAAAGGAAUUGACGGGGCCCCGCACAAGCGGCGGAGCAUGCGGAUUAAUUCGAUGCAACGCGUAGAACCUUACCUGGGUUUGACAUGGAUCGGGAGCGCUCAGAGAUGGGUGUGCCUCUUUUGGGGUCGGUUCACAGGUGGUGCAUGGCUGUCGUCAGCUCGUGUCGUGAGAUGUUGGGUUAAGUCCCGCAACGAGCGCAACCCUUGUUCACUGUUGCCAGCACGUUAUGGUGGGGACUCAGUGGAGACCGCCGGGGUCAACUCGGAGGAAGGUGGGGAUGACGUCAAGUCAUCAUGCCCCUUAUGUCCAGGGCUUCACGCAUGCUACAAUGGCUGGUACAGAGAGUGGCGAGCCUGUGAGGGUGAGCGAAUCUCGGAAAGCCGGUCUCAGUUCGGAUUGGGGUCUGCAACUCGACCUCAUGAAGUCGGAGUCGCUAGUAAUCGCAGAUCAGCAACGCUGCGGUGAAUACGUUCCCGGGGCU